rnacentral:rRNA from 1 species
UACAGAGACUGCAAGCGUUGUUCGGAUUCACUGGGCGUAAAGGGUGCGCAGGCGGCCGGGUGUGUCGGGUGUGAAAGCUCGAGGCUCAACCUCGAAAUUGCGCCCGAAACUAUUCGGCUAGAGUACUGGAGAGGGAAGCGGAAUUCACGGUGUAGCAGUGAAAUGCGUAGAUAUCGUGAGGAACACCAAUGGCGAAGGCAGCCCCCUGGGCCAGCACUGACGCCUCCAUGCACGAAAGCGUGGGGAGCAAACAGG